rfam:Atta cephalotes unplaced genomic scaffold scaffold00020, whole genome shotgun sequence.
AUCCCUUUGACGCAGAGGAUAGCGCGUUGGACUUCUAACCAAUUCAAAGAUCAUGGGUUCGAUCCCCACAAAGGAUG